rnacentral:lncRNA from 1 species
GUUGAUGAAAGGCUCAUUGAAGAAAGCUCUUUUCACCAACAAAACUGCGGGAUUUGAAGAGGUGACUGUGUUACACUAUUGGGUAUGUCCCAUGUCACCAAACCAAGACUUAACUGUGGCUUCAACUCUCCCAGAAAUGGAAUCUUCAACCAGUCAAAUAGGAAUCGCCAGAUCAGCACUAGUUAGGUAACACCAGGUAAAUGUGAAAAACACCAUCCAGCUGAGCAUAAUGACCGAUGGAAGAAUAUACAAAACACCUUCUCUCUCUUACCCCAUUUUACCCAAUGCAUUGCCUACUGUAUUCCAACUUUGUGGACUUUCUCAGUAAAACAUGAGUAAGUGUCCUGAUUAUAAGUAGGAAAAAGGAAAAGCCUUCAGUAUUGCGAAGUUUCGAAACAAG